rnacentral:rRNA from 1 species
UACGAAGGGGGCUAGCGUUGCUCGGAAUCACUGGGCGUAAAGCGCACGUAGGUGGAUCACUAAGUCAGGGGUGAAAUCCUGGAGCUCAACUCCAGAACUGCCUUUGAUACUGAUGAUCUUCGAGUCCGGGAGAGGUGGGUGGAACUGCGAGUGUAGAGGUGAAAUUCGUAGAUAUUCGCAAGAACACCAGUGGCGAAGGCGGCUCACUGGCCCGGUACUGACACUGAGGUGCGAAAGCGUGGGGAGCAAACAGG